rnacentral:rRNA from 1 species
UGACCCUACGGGGCGCAGCAGUGAGGAAUAUUGGUCAAUGGCCGAGAGGCUGAACCAGCCAAGUCGCGUGAGGGAAGACGGCCCUACGGGUUGUAAACCUCUUUUGUCGGAGAGCAAAGCGAGUCACGUGUGACUCAUUGAGAGUACCCGAAGAAAAAGCAUCGGCUAACUCCGUGCCAGCAGCCGCGGUAAUACGGAGGAUGCGAGCGUUAUCCGGAUUUAUUGGGUUUAAAGGGUGCGCAGGCGGAGGUGCAAGUCAGCGGUCAAAUUGCGGGGCUCCACCCCGUACUUCCGUUGAAACUGCC